CUGACGUUAGCGGCGGACGGGUGAGUAACACGUGGAUAACCUACCUAUAAGACUGGGAUAACUUCGGGAAACCGGAGCUAAUACCGGAUAAUAUAUUGAACCGCAUGGUUCAAUAGUGAAAGACGGUUUUGCUGUCACUUAUAGAUGGAUCCGCGCCGCAUUAGCUAGUUGGUAAGGUAACGGCUUACCAAGGCAACGAUGCGUAGCCGACCUGAGAGGGUGAUCGGCCACACUGGAACUGAGACACGGCCCAGACUCCUACGGGAGGCAGCAGUAGGGAAUCUUCCGCAAUGGGCGAAAGCCUGACGGAGCAACGCCGCGUGAGUGAUGAAGGUCUUCGGAUCGUAAAACUCUGUUAUUAGGGAAGAACAAAUGUGUAAGUAACUAUGCACGUCUUGACGGUACCUAAUCAGAAAGCCACGGCUAACUACGUGCCAGCAGCCGCGGUAAUACGUAGG
rnacentral:rRNA from 1 species